GGCGUCUUCACGGGAGAUUGGAUCUGAGCUCUCGUCCGUGGUUCCUCUGUGCUGCCGACGUCAUGACGGCGUCAACACGGCGAACCACACCCGAGUUAGCUGCACGGCGUCAGAGAAACUUGGAACUCACCCACACGAAUGACGGAACAUGGUCUAACACAGAGUCCUAGAAAGUUUGCAACAAAGCACGUCAAGAGGUUCAAAACAAAGAAACUGAAAGUCCACUUUCAAGUGAGUAGAAAAACAAUAUUUUCCAGACCGCAUACAAAGAGACUCUGAAAUGCAAGUCAUCGCAGCCUUGUUGGUACGGAUACAUGGCCAAACCUUCAACUGGUUCUCAAAGGUUCCGUAUCCUGGUUGAAGAGCAAGCUCGUGCUACAGCAGCCACCCAGCAGCAAAACUCUGAGCUCAGCCAGCAGGUCAACGAAUUACAAGAUCAACUACAAGCUGAACGUGCAAACACACAAGAGAGGAUUAACUUGGAGUGUACUGAGAGAGAACAACUUGAGGAGAGGUUAAAAGAAGAGCAUGCUGAAAGGGAAAGAUUGUUGGAAGAGGAGCGAACAUCAAGACCGGAAUUUGAAAAAAACAUGAUGACAAAGUUUGUAGCAUUGAGCCAACAGAUGGGAACCCAACAGGUGCCUAAGGAUUGACAAAGAAAAUAGUAACCCAAACUUGCAAAAUACACUUUUAUAGAGAUCUAGUCCUAAUAAGACUCCAGUUCAAGGCUAAUUAUUAUUUCUUCAAAUGCGCUCAUACAAGCUGCAACAAGGAAUUCUCGAAUGUUUAAAGCAAUGGAUACAAAGAACUAGCUGGCCUGGACUCUAGAUCACGGACCGUUUAGUUUCUGCAAUUAAUUAGGAUGGCUAAAUUAUAUCUGAGUUUCAUUUGAUGGAUAUUUGCUACGAGAAUUAUGAACUUUAUGAAUCUACAUAUUAUACGUAUGGUUUUGAAUAUUAUAAUUGAAUGCAUGUAUUUUUUUUACGGUUGCAAUAUGCUACAACCCACUUUCGGUUGCCACAUGUUAGCACCACCAAAAAAAGUGUUGCGCCAUAUCUCAGUCGAUAUGCCUACUAUUUUGUUGCACUAGGAUGUUGUAACGGAUCACUUCAUAUUGUCUGGCA